UACGUAGGGUGCGAGCGUUAAUCGGAAUUACUGGGCGUAAAGCGUGCGCAGGCGGUUUUGCAAGCCGGAUGUGAAAUCCCCGGGCUCAACCUGGGAAUGGCAUUCGGGACUGCAAGGCUGGAGUGCGGCAGAGGAGACUGGAAUUCCUGGUGUAGCAGUGAAAUGCGUAGAUAUCAGGAGGAAUACCGAUGGCGAAGGCAGUGGGCUGGGCUGGCACUGACGCUGAGGAGCGAAAGCGUGGGUAGCAAACAGG
rnacentral:rRNA from 1 species